GAUGAACGCUGGCGGCGUGCCUAAUACAUGCAAGUAGAACGCUGAAGGAAGGAGCUUGCUCUUUCCGGAUGAGUUGCGAACGGGUGAGUAACGCGUAGGUAACCUCCCUGGUAGCGGGGGAUAACUAUUGGAAACGAUAGCUAAUACCGCAUAACAGUAGAUAUUGCAUGAUAUCUGCUUGAAAGGGGCAAUUGCUCCACUACCAGAUGGACCUGCGUUGUAUUAGCUAGUUGGUGAGGUAACGGCUCACCAAGGCGACGAUACAUAGCCGACCUGAGAGGGUGAUCGGCCACACUGGGACUGAGACACGGCCCAGACUCCUACGGGAGGCAGCAGUAGGGAAUCUUCGGCAAUGGACGGAAGUCUGACCGAGCAACGCCGCGUGAGUGAAGAAGGUUUUCGGAUCGUAAAGCUCUGUUGUAAGAGAAG
rnacentral:rRNA from 1 species